GCGAGAAAAGUCAGCGCGCCUAAUCAGAGAGAAGACACGACGCAAUGAGGAAGUGUGGACCGAUAUACGUGCUCUUGCUAGCUCUGGUCAUCUGUGCUGCAGAAAACGAUGAUACGUACUCGCGGCUUGUCCGAUGAGAACUAGCCAGAC